GAUGAACGCUGGCGGCGUGCCUAAUACAUGCAAGUCGAGCGAACAGAUGAGGAUCUUGCUCCUCUGACGUUAGCGGCGGACGUGUGUGUAACACGUGUAUAACCUACCUCUAAUUCUGGUAUAACUUCGGGAAACCGUAGCUAAUACCGGAUAAUAUAUUGAACCGCAUUGUUCUAUAGUGAAAUACGGUUUUGCUGUCUCUUAUAGAUGGAUCCGCGCCGCAUUAGCUAGUUGGUAAGGUAACGGCUUACCAAGGCAACGAUGCGUAGCCGACGUGAGAGGGUGAUCGGAGACACUGGAAGGGAGACACGGACAAGAGUACUACGGGAGGGAGCAGAAGGGAAUGGUACGCAAUGGGCGAAAGGAUGACGGAGCAACGGCGAGUGAGUGAAGAAGGUCGUAGGAUCGUAAAAAUAUGUAAGUAGGGAAGAACAAAAGUGUAAGAAAAUAAGAACGUAUUGACGGUAACGAAAAAGAAAGCAACGGCUAACUACGUG
rnacentral:rRNA from 1 species